GUGCUCACAUUGGUAGCUCACAUGCCAAAAUUAGGAUGAUAACAAGAAGAUUAGCAUGGCCCCUAUACAAAGAUGACAUGCAAAUUCAUGAAAUGUUCCAAAUUUUA